rnacentral:misc_RNA from 1 species
GAUGAAGAACGUAGCAAAAUGCGAUACUUGGUGUGAAUUGCAGAAUCCCGUGAACCAUCGAGUUUUUGAACGCAAGUUGCGCCCGAAACCAUCCGGUUGAGGGCACGCCUGCCUGGGCGUCACGCAUCGCGUCGUCCCCCAACAUACUCUCCCUUUCUGGGUUGUCAUGUUGAUUGGGGACGGAGAUUGGCCUCCCGUGCUUCUGGUGCGGUUGGCCUAAAUAGGAGGCCCCUUCGGUGGAUACACGGCUAGUGGUGGUUGUUAAGACCCUCGUAUUGUGCUGUGUGUUGUGAGCUGUUAGGGAAACCCUCACCAAAGACCCUAUUGUAUCGUCUUGGUACGAUGCUUCGACCGCGACCCCAGGUCAGGCGGGACUACCCGCUGAGUUUAAGCAUAUCAUAAGCGGAGGA